rnacentral:lncRNA from 1 species
UUGUGUCAGAAUUGAGAAAUUCUAUGGCUCGAAUCUUUAGUAUUCUCUUAUUUAUUACCUGCGUCUACUCUUUAGGCAGAAUACCGUCACCCAUUUUUACUAAGAAACUGAAAGAAACGGAAGAAACGGAAGAAAGGGAGGAAAGUGAGGAAGAAACAGAUGUAGAAAUAGAAACAACUUUCGAAACAAAGGGGACUAAACAGGGAUCUACGUCUUGGGUAGAGCUGGCUGGACGGACGGGUUAUCUAUUCACGAAAAUAACUUAAUUAAUAAGAUAUUCAUAAUUUUUUAUAGGCCGAAACUCAUAGAUUAGACUGUCUAAGAGAUUUUGACUCAAAAUUCUAAUGAAAAUUUGAUAGAACUUUCCCUAAAAUAUGGACGUUUACCUCCCGUACAACGGGUCCAAAAUCUGCGAGAAACACUUCAAAUAUUCCAUAAUUAUUUAACGGGAGUUGGGCCACCCAAACUGCAUUAUUUUAUGACUCUGUAAUACAACUCAAAUCAUAAUACAAAAUCAACAGUUCGGCAAAAAUAAUAAUAUUAUUCCCGAUACAAUCACAUAAUUAUUUCCUCACAUUUAAUUUAAUUAAUCACAACCUCAAUUUACAUAACAUAAUAUUAACUCCUUUUAUAAUUAAUCUACAGUAAUUCUAGAAUCAUGCUACUAAUGAAUUAAAUAUUUUAAUUAAUUAAUUAUAACUAAUAAUUAAUAAACCAAAUAUUUUCUAAUAAUUCUAAAUUAAUUUUCAAAGUCUAAAUAAAAUUAUACCGAGCAGAAAUCCGAACUUCUGUGCGUCCAAAAAACACCAGAGUCUGAAAGCCGGUACCUCCAACGGUGUCAGAUUUCGAAUCGAGAGACGCCUACGCAAGCCCGAGUUAUGGGGAGUCUAAAUAUGCAAAUUUCUUCGCCUGAAACUCGCCGGAAGUCACUGGAUCGAGGCUGAAAAAUUUCACUCCAGUGAGGCUCACCCACUACUGUUGGCGAAGGAAAAGCAAUAGGGAAGCAAUAGGGAAGGGUUGCCUUGGGUUUUUUAGGGUCCAAGAAUCUGUUUCCAGCAUCAGAUUGGUGAAGAGACGUCGACAAGAGGCUAUUUCGGCAGGAACAAUGGAUGAGUCGACUUUUCCUCCUUGCUGCGGUGGGGAACGACAAAAAGGAGGGAGAGAGUGACGUCACCAACGAGAAAUGGAAGAGGGGAGGAAAGUUAGGUGGCUGGCAACGAUGUGGUAUGGUCGGAAAUGGGAGGGAGUGAGGAAAACGGAAGAAGAGGGUGGCAGGGAGAGAAAAGAAGGAGGAGAGAACAAUUUUUGUGUUAUGUUAUUAUUUUAUUAUUUUUUUAAAAUAAAAGAUGAAAAAAAUGCAAAUGAGGCCUUCUUCAAAAAGUUGCUACAAUG